UAUUAUAAUCAAAGGAAUUAUAAAAAUGAAAAGGAAUCGCAGUUUAAUGUAUGUGUAAACACGUUGUUUUUCUGGUAAUGAGCAUAAGAUAGGGUAAACAACCUAUAAUUCUUAGAAUUUCAUUAAAUAUUGAUUUUAACUUUGCUUUUGGAAGGAUCGGAAUUUGGAUCUCUUUUAGACAAAGUUGACAGAAUUACCAUUAUCUUCAAAUAAUAAAAGGGAAAACGAAAUGAGGCUUCUACUACUUGUAACUAUGCUGUUAUUGCUGCUGACUGGAACAGUAUUAACGAUGGCUAUUCCUGUGGGCCAGGUUCUUCUUAAUAAGGUGAUGAAUCGAAACACAUUAUCCAAGAAGAACGGAUGCUGCUGUCCGGGUGGUGUUGGUUGCAGUGGUUAAACUGUGGAAAUAAAUAAACUCAAUAUUUGAACAAUCCUGGUAUAUUUUCUACAAUCAACCCAUUUAUUU